GCCGAAGUGGCGGAACUGGCAGACGCGCACGGUUGAGGGCCGUGUGAGGCAACUCGUGGGGGUUCGAGUCCCCCCUUCGGCACCA
rnacentral:tRNA from 2 species